AUUGGACAUUUGCUUCCAGUCAUUCUAACAAAUACUGAAAAUGUACAACAUAAAAUCUGAAAUUUUUUGGAUAUUGAAGCAUAUCUUUCGAAAGUAACACUUCAUAAAUAUGGGCUAACUUUAUAUCUUCUUCCCAAACGUCAACUUCAGAGCUACCUAACAUGCAUAAACGAAGUGUUUGAAAUAUUCAUCAAGAGGGUGCCAAAGGAACAAAAAAUCAAUUCCACCUCUCAUGCAUCGGUUCUCCUUAUGAUUACUGAAGAGAUGCUUUGGGGAAAAUUAAUGCGGAUUUGAGGAUUCUU
rnacentral:sRNA from 1 species